rnacentral:rRNA from 1 species
UACGUAGGGUGCAAGCGUUGUCCGGAUUUAUUGGGCGUAAAGAGCUCGUAGGCGGUUUGUCGCGUCGGAUGUGAAAUCCCAGGGCUCAACCCUGGGCCUGCAUUCGAUACGGGCAGACUAGAGUAUGGCAGGGGAGACUGGAAUUCCUGGUGUAGCGGUGAAAUGCGUAGAUAUCGAGAGGAACACCUGCGGCGAAGGCGGGUUGCUGGGCCGACACUGACGCUGAUGCGCGAAAGCCAGGGGAGCGAACGGG